rnacentral:rRNA from 1 species
CAACAUUGAACUGAGACUGCCCAGACUCCUACGGAGGCUGCAGUCGAGAAUCUUCGCAUGGGCGCAGCUGACGAAGCGACGCGUGUGUGUGAUGAAGUUUAGGAUCGUAAAGCACUUCGCCUGUGAGCAAGAAUCUUCUUCUAAUAAAAGAAAAAUUUGAGAGUAGCAGGUAAAGAAGCGCCGGCCAACUACGUGCCAGCAGCUGCGGUAAUACGUAGGGCGCAAGCAUUAAUCGGAUUUAUUGGGUGUAAAGGGUGCGUAGGCUGCUGAGUAAGUUGGAUGUGAAAUUCCGGAGUUCAUCUUCGGACUGCAUUCAAAACUGCUCAGCUAGAGUAUAAGAGGGGAAAGCGGAAUUCCACAAGUAGCGGUGAAAUGCGUAGAUAUGUGGAGGAACACCGGUGGCGAAGGCGGCUUUCUGGAUUAUUACUGACGCUGAGGCACGAAAGCAUGGGGAGCAAACAGGAUUAGAUACCCUGGUAGUCCAUGCCGUAAACGAUGCACACUUGAUGUAGUCGGUCUCAACCCCGGCUGUGUCGAAGCUAACGCGAUAAGUGUGCCACCUGGGGAGUACGCUCGCAAGGGUGAAACUCAAAAGAAUUGACGGGGACCCGCACAAGCAGUGGAGCAUGUGGUUUAAUUCGAUGCAACGCGAAGAACCUUACCUGGGCUUGACAUGCAGAGGACUGGGGCAGAAAUGCUCAGUUCCGAAAGGACCUCUGUACAGGUGCUGCAUGGCUGUCGUCAGCUCGUGCCGUGAGGUGUUGGGUUAAGUCCCGCAACGAGCGCAACCCUUAUUGCUAAUUGCCAUCAGGUAAAGCUGGGCACUUUAGUGAGACUGCCUGAGUCGAUCAGGAGGAAGGUGAGGAUGACGUCAAGUCCGCAUGGCCCUUAUGUCCAGGGCUACACACGUGCUACAAUGGCCAGUACAAAAGGUUGCGAAGCCGCAAGGCGUAGCUAAUCCCCAAAACUGGUCUCAGUUCGGAUUGCAGUCUGCAACUCGGCUGCAUGAAGUUGGAAUUGCUAGUAAUGGCGUGUCAGCAACAGCGCCGUGAAUACGUUCCCGGGUCUUGUACACACCGCCCGUCACACCACGGAAGUUGCUCUUGCCCGAAGUCGCUGACCCAACCCGCAAGGGAGGGAGUGCCGAAA